CUGGAGGACCGAACCGACUAAUGUUGAAAAAUUAGCGGAUGACUUGUGGCUGGGGGUGAAAGGCCAAUCAAACCGGGAGAUAGCUGGUUCUCCCCGAAAUCUAUUUAGGUAGAGCCUUGAGCGGACACCUUCGGGGGUAGAGCACUGUUUCGGCUAGGGGUCCAUCCCGGAUUACCAACCCGAUGCAAACUACGAAUACCGAAGAGUGAUACUCAGGAGACACACGGCGGGUGCUAACGUCCGUCGUGGAGAGGGAAACAACCCAGACCGCCAGCUAAGGUCCCAAAGUCUAUAUUAAGUGGGAAACGAAGUGGGAAGGCUUAGACAGCUAGGAUGUUGGCUUAGAAGCAGCCAUCAUUUAAAGAAAGCGUAAUAGCUCACUAGUCGAGUCGGCCUGCGCGGAAGAUGUAACGGGGCUCAAAUAUAGCACCGAAGCUGCGGCAUCAGUAGCAAUACUGUUGGGUAGGGGAGCGUUCUGUAAGCGGAUGAAGGUGAAUCGAGAGGUUUGCUGGACGUAUCAGAAGUGCGAAUGCUGACAUAAGUAACGAUAAAACGGGUGAAAAACCCGUUCGCCGGAAGACCAAGGGUUCCUGUCCAACGUUAAUCGGGGCAGGGUGAGUCGGCCCCUAAGGCGAGGCUGAAAAGCGUAGUCGAUGGGAAACGGGUUAAUAUUCCCGUACUUGGAUAAACUGCGAUGUGGGGACGGAGCAGGUUAGGUUAUCGCACUGUUGGAUAUGUGCGUUUAAGUUGGUAGGUGUGAAGUUUAGGCAAAUCCGGACUUCUUUAACACCGAGAGAUGAUGACGAGGCUCUACGGAGCUGAAGUAACCGAUACCACACUUCCAGGAAAAGCCACUAAGCUUCAGGUUUAUCUAAACCGUACUGAAAACCGACACAGGUGGUCAGGUAGAGAAUACUCAGGCGCUUGAGAGAACUCGGGUGAAGGAACUAGGCAAAAUAGCACCGUAACUUCGGGAGAAGGUGCGCCGGCGUAGAUUGUAGUCCCUUGCGGGCGAAGGUUGAACCGGUCGAAGAUACCAGCUGGCUGCAACUGUUUAUUAAAAACACAGCACUCUGCAAACACGAAAGUGGACGUAUAGGGUGUGAUGCCUGCCCGGUGCUGGAAGGUUAAUUGAUGGUGUAAUCGAAAGAGAAGCUCCUGAUCGAAGCCCCAGUAAACGGCGGCCGUAACUAUAACGGUCCUAAGGUAGCGAAAUUCCUUGUCGGGUAAGUUCCGACCUGCACGAAUGGCAUAAUGAUGGCCAGGCUGUCUCCACCCGAGACUCAGUGAAAUUGAAAUCGCCGUGAAGAUGCGGUGUACCCGCGGCUAGACGGAAAGACCCCGUGAACCUUUACUAUAGCUUGACACUGAACAUUGAAUUUUGAUGUGUAGGAUAGGUGGGAGACUUAGAAGUAGUCACGCCAGUGAUUAUGGAGUCGACCUUGAAAUACCACCCUUUAACGUUUGAUGUUCUAACGAAGAUUACGAAACGUGGUCUCGGACAGUGUCUGGUGGGUAGUUUGACUGGGGCGGUCUCCUCCCAAAGAGUAACGGAGGAGCACGAAGGUUUGCUAAUGACGGUCGGACAUCGUCAGGUUAGUGCAAUGGUAUAAGCAAGCUUAACUGCGAGACAGACAAGUCGAGCAGGUACGAAAGUAGGUCAUAGUGAUCCGGUGGUUCUGAAUGGAAGGGCCAUCGCUCAACGGAUAAAAGGUACUCCGGGGAUAACAGGCUGAUACCGCCCAAGAGUUCAUAU
rnacentral:rRNA from 1 species